UUUUUUUUUUCCCCUCCAGUAUAAAUUAACUCCGACUGCAACCACCAGAUUGUUCCGAGGAGACUACCUCCCUAAUGACUUCAUCUCCAAAAGUUGACUGACACUCUAGCGAACUGCCAACACCUGUUUCCCAGCACCCAGACUCCAGAACCCACCAGACCUCGGAUGCUCCAGGCCCUUUGGUCCCACCUGACCGUGAUGCUUCCCAGUGUCUUUACCCAUACAAAGCUUCUUCUGUCCUCUUCGGGCCGGGACAAGGGGACAGGGAUUGGGGAAAACAGUGAGGAGCCAGAGGGAACUGCCCCGUGAUGGGAAAAGGAUGGCGACGGCUGGGAGCACAGCAGCGUGGCAGGGCUGUACCCGGCCCAGCAGAGUAUGGGGUCAGGGAGGUGGCAAUGGCCCGACCCUCUGCUCUGAUACCGGCGGCUGUGGGGCCGGGGUACUGCGGCUCCCCGCACGGGUUUCGAAAGAAAACAAUGAUAAUAAUAUUGA